rnacentral:rRNA from 1 species
UACGAAGGGGGCUAGCGUUGCUCGGAAUGACUGGGCGUAAAGGGCGCGUAGGCGGCUCAUACAGUCAGGCGUGAAAUUCCUGGGCUCAACCUGGGGACUGCGCUUGAGACGUGUGGGCUUGAGUGGGGAAGAGGGUCGUGGAAUUCCCAGUGUAGAGGUGAAAUUCGUAGAUAUUGGGAAGAACACCCGUGGCGAAGGCGGUUCUCUGGGACGGUACUGACGCUGAGACGCGAAAGCGUGGGGAGCGAACAGG